rnacentral:rRNA from 1 species
ACGGGAGGCAGCAGUAAGGAAUAUUGGUCAAUGGGGGCAACCCUGAACCAGCCAUGCCGCGUACAGGAAGACAGCCCUAUGGGUCGUAAACUGCUUUUAUUGGGGAAUAACCUCCUGUAUGUAUACAGGACUGAAUGUACCCAAGGAAUAAGGAUCGGCUAACUCCGUGCCAGCAGCCGCGGUAAUA